UUUAUUGAUUUAAUUUUGGGAAA
rnacentral:snRNA from 1 species